GACGAACGCUGGCGGCGUGCUUAACACAUGCAAGUCGAACGGAAAGGCCCUGCUUUUGUGGGGUGCUCGAGUGGCGAACGGGUGUGUAACACGUGAGUAACCUGCCCUUGACUUUGGGAUAACUUCAGGAAACUGGGGCUAAUACCGCAUAGGAGCUCCUGCUGCAUGGUGGGGGUUGGAAAGUUUCGGCGGUUGGGGUUGGACUCGCGGCUUAUCAGCUUGUUGGUGGGGUAGUGGCUUACCAAGGCUUUGACGGGUAGCCGGCCUGAGAGGGUGACCGGCCACAUUGGGACUGGGAUACGGCCCAGACUAGUACGGGAGGCAGCAGAGGGGAAUAUUACACAAUGGGCGGAAGCCUGAUGCAGCAACGCCGCGUGCGGGAUGACGGCAUUCGGGUUGUAAACCGCUUUCGCCUGUGACGAAGCGAGAGUGACGGUAAUGGGUAAAGAAGCACCGGCUAACUACGUG
rnacentral:rRNA from 1 species